rnacentral:ncRNA from 1 species
UAUCUUCGGGGUUAGGUGAAAGUCCUGACCGGCAGUAGAGCCUGCGAGCCUUUUGGGUUGAUUCGGUGAGAUUCCGAAGCCGACGGUAAAGUCCGGAUGAAAGAAGAU